GUGAUAACUUCGGCAGCACAUGUGCUAAAAUUGGAAUGAUAGAGAGAUUAGCAUGGCCCUUGUGCAAGGAUGACACACAAAUUCGUGAAGCAUCCCCUAUUUUU